UAUGGCCACAUCACACUGAAACACAAGUUCCCAUACGAUCACCAAAGUUAAGCAAUGUCAUGACUGGUCAGUACCUAGAUAGGUGACAACUUGGGAAUACCAGGUGCUGUAAG